GCGGCCGUAGUCCAGCCUGGCUAGGACGUCAGAUUGCCAAUCUGGAGACCCGGGUUCAAAUCCCGGCGGCCGCA
rnacentral:tRNA from 1 species